rnacentral:rRNA from 1 species
UACGUAGGGGGCAAGCGUUGUCCGGAAUCAUUGGGCGUAAAGCGCGUGUAGGCGGCCAGAAAAGUCCGCUGUGAAAACUCGAGGCUCAACUUCGAGCUGUCGGUGGAAACUUUCUGGCUAGAGUCCGGAAGAGGAGAAUGGAAGUUCCUGGUGUAGCGGUGAAAUGACGCAGAUAUCAGGAAGAACGACCCGUGGCGAAGGCGGUUCUCUGGGACGGUACUGACGCUGAGACGCGAAGCGUGGGGAGCGAACAGG